AUGAUGUCCCACCUGAGUGUUCCUAUUGUCACAAGAGAGGUCAUUUCAUUCGUGAUUGCUUUCGUCUCCAGCAGAAAAACCGGAGGAGUGGAAACCCUCCUCCAACGAAGCCCAUGGCUGCUUGUGCUGUUAUCUCACACAGGUUGGAUGAAUGUGAAACCCCUCUCUCCAGCUUUAACCCGUUUUUGUCAGCUGGGGUGGUCUCUGUUAGGCAACAAGGCUAACCAUGAGGUGGUAAUUUUAAGAGAUACCGGAGCUUCUCAAACCCUGAUAAAAUGGAGUGUGUUACCGUUUUCUGUAACCAGUCGGGCUGGUUAUUCUGUGUUGUUGCGGGGUAUUGACAUGGGUUCGGUUCCAGCGGAGGUUCAUCAUAUUCACCUCACUUGUCCUUUGAUUACUGGUAGCCUAAGGGUAGCCAUUUUAGAUGAGUUGCCGACCCAGGGAGUAGACCUGAUUUUGGGGAACGACGCUGUUGGUGGAUUAGUGUUACCUCCUCCUGAGCUCAUUUCUUCGCCUGAAAUCGGGGAAAGUCUGGAUAAGCUACCUACUUGUGUGCUGCCUCACUCCCAGCUUAAGAAAGACCCGGAAGUUUCGCUUAACAACUCGGGGUUUAAGAUGUUGACUGAUGUUGCCAAGACAGAUGCGGCUGUAAAAGCGUCUGAUCUGGCCUCUGGAGAUCCUCAAGUGGAUUUACCUGGUUCUUGUAAAUCGUUGGCUGAUGCUCAGAAAACUGACCACUGUCUGGCAUCUCGUUUUGUUCUAGGUGAUGUUGCUCCUUCGUCCGAUAACAUUCAGGAAAUGGUGGCCUUUCUGCCUCCCACAACUCAUCAUGAGCUCUGGCGAUUUCUUGAGAUGGCUGAGUUCUAUAGAUGUUUUUGCCGUAAUUUCUCAGUGAUAGCUCAGCCCCUUACUGAUAUGCUCAGUACUUGUGUCCCUUUCUCUUGGACCCCAGAAUGCCAAAGCACUUUUGUGUCUCUGCAAAAAUUACUCGAAUGUGCUCCUGUUUUAGCUGCUCCAGAUCUCACUCAACCUUUUCAGCUGGAGCAAAAGCAGGGGCUGGAGCUGUCCUCAUCCAGGAGGAUGACGCCGGGCUUGAUCACCCAAUAUGCUACUUCUCUCGGAAGUUCAACUGCGCACAUCUUCACUAUUCAACCGUCAAAAAUGAAACUGUAG
rnacentral:lncRNA from 1 species